rnacentral:misc_RNA from 1 species
UGUAGGAGCGAGCCUGCUCGCGAUGCUUUUUGGCGUCCUCACGGGCGCCAUCGCGAGCAGGCUCACUCCUACA